GAGUUUGAUCCUGGCUCAGGAUGAACGCUGGCGGCGUGCCUAAUACAUGCAAGUCGAGCGAACAGAUAAGGAGCUUGCUCCUUUGACGUUAGCGGCGGACGGGUGAGUAACACGUGGGUAACCUACCUAUAAGACUGGAAUAACUCCGGGAAACCGGGGCUAAUGCCGGAUAACAUUUAGAACCGCAUGGUUCUAAAGUGAAAGAGGGUUUUGCUAUCACUUAUAGAUGGACCCGCGCCGUAUUAGCUAGUUGGUAAGGUAACGGCUUACCAAGGCGACGAUACGUAGCCGACCUGAGAGGGUGAUCGGCCACACUGGAACUGAGACACGGUCCAGACUCCUACGGGAGGCAGCAGUAGGGAAUCUUCCGCAAUGGGCGAAAGCCUGACGGAGCAACGCCGCGUGAGUGAUGAAGGGUUUCGGCUCGUAAAACUCUGUUAUUAGGGAAGAACAAAUGUGUAAGUAACUGUGCACAUCU
rnacentral:rRNA from 1 species